GUCAGUUUAUACAAAAUUUACUUACUGAAGUUCGUUAUCGGUCGUGAAUAAUUUUAAAUACACAAUCGCACGUCGGGCCUUGUGAAGGAAUGUCUCCAUGGAAAAACGGCGAUGUAAAAUGGAGAGAAGUGCGUUUAUUCAACAACAGCCGCGACUUUCGCCUACAAAUUUUAUCGCUAAAAACUCUACGAGCUAUGAACUCCAGUUUACUAAAGCUUCAGGUCCAAACCUUGAUUUAAUGGUACAGUUCCACGGCGAUGUACAGCUUCACCUCGCUUUGAUUGAAGACUUCCUCGAACAACAUGACGGAGUAAGGUCUGCUACACUUCGCGAAGUCGCUCGUAAACCCGAACCAAAAUUUUAUGAAGAUUCAACUUACGUUGUAUUGUACCGCGUUCAAUUGGAAUGUUGCAAUUUCACGCCAGAACAAUGUCGUCGGCGGCUUCUCGAGCGGUGGUGCGCGGAAGUACCCCUCUGGGCUCAGCUAUCAAACCCCCCAGCGCCACUUUCCGGGGGUGCGGUCGCUGUUAGUUGGGAACGAUCUCACGAGGUGCAAUUAUGUCAUCUUUCGAUCGGAAACCUCGUCGGAAGUUCGUUGUAUCUAGAACACCAUCGGCUGAGUGGCCUCUCGAGUGUCGUCUGGGACCAUUGCUCACAGGUGCUAUCAGCUUUUGUGGAACGACCAGGCGUUGGUGUCCUUCGUCUGUCUGUACGUUACAGUCAAAUCAGGCAUCUUCUCGUUACCUUCCAGGAUCGAAACCAUGCCCAUAUAUUGCUUCAUCUGCAUACGGUCGCCUUGGUGUCCUUCGUCGACAGCACACAACUAGAAGCGCAAAUGUCCAUUGGGGAAGUCAGUUUAGAGGACGUGACAGCGUAUCAACGAAAACACGAUCUCGAUUCCAUCGACGCGUGCUUUCCAUCAACGAGCGAAUUUGGUGCUUGUCUCACGCUCAACCUCAUGGCUCGCGCCGGUAGUGAAACGCUGUCGAAGCUGUUUAAUCGGGUUGGCCGGAAAGUGGGUCACUACGGUGAGGUUGCCUAUUGCCGGGUCGAACGGCGUCUGCUGCCGUCGGCGGAGCGGAUUCGUCUUUAUACUACCCGAGAUGCCUUUGUGCAGCUUCUGGCCACGUUCGAGAUUAAGUACGCGGUGUCCGCCGUCUUCUCCUGGAGCGAUGAAGUGAUAGAUCAACUAUAUGCAUACGGAAGAGUCCGUGAAGUGUUAGAGCAAAUUCGUAAAUUGGAGGCGGUGAGUCCCCGAGCUCUCGGACUAGCAUUGCGGGAUAUUUGUACCUCUCUGGAGAACGGUGCGAUCGUUGAUUUUGAUUCAGCGCUUCAGUUACAAUUUGAAUUCCAUGACGCGAAUGAAGGCCCGGUACCUGGAAUGACAGUGGCGGGCACGGUGUAUGUUCGUCGAGUAUUCGUUACGCCGACAAGGCUAAUCCUUCGCUUCCCAAACCUUCACACACAGAAUCGUAUCCUACGCCAUUUUGACUCGGAAUUCGCGAUUCGAGUCUCGUUUCGUGACGACAACUUAGACAAACUAACGUUUUCGGUUCUAUCUAUGCGUGACAAAUUGCAAUUUCUCAAUCAUGUUGUUGGUAGCCAUAUACGUAAUGGUAUUACGAUUGGCGGGCGGAGAUACAUGUACGUGGCGGCUUCUUCGUCACAGCUGCGCGAUCACGGCGUAUGGUUCUACGCGUCCGAUCUGGCCGGCUUCGAUGCAGCUUCGAUUCGCCAAUGGAUGGGCGACUUCAGCAAUAUCAGCAACGUGGCUACUCGGGUCGCACGAAUGGGACAGUGUUUCUCGUCGACCCAGGAGACUGUCGAAGUGCCCCCAGCCGAGGAGCUGCAUGAGGACGACAUAUGGCAUCCGGACAGUGUACAUCCUAUUUCGCAACAGCCAUAUUGCUUUUCGGAUGGGUGUGGGAAGAUAUCGCCGGAGCUGUUGCAGGAAGUGUGGAAUAGUCUUCCUCAUAUCACGGCACAACGACCUUCAGCAUUGCAAAUCCGCUACAGAGGCUGUAAGGGGAUGGUGUGUCUUGACCCAAGGCUACAGGGACGCCAGCUGGUCCUGCGUCGAUCAAUGGUUAAGUUCGAGUGUCUGUCGAAUAGAAAACUUGAAGUGAUUAAAUGGUCGGCACCGAUGAAUAUGUUCCUCAAUAGACCUUUAAUUGCCAUUCUUGAACAUCAUGGCAUUAAAGCUGACGUAUUCGUUCGAUUAGAGCUGGAAAUGAUUAUCGCAAUGGCAGACUCCUUAGUGUGCGAAGCGUCCGCUUUAAGGGUUCUUACGAACUUCGUCAAGACGCCUAUUCCGUUCGGCGGCCUCGCGGAAAUGGGCUGGCAGUUAGUCCACGACCCAUUUUUCACAGCGAUGCUUUUCGACCUACUCAAAACAGCUCUGUUAGGCCUCAAAGACAAGGCUAAUAUUGCUAUUCCAGCAAAUGAAGGACGAAACAUGCUUGGUGUUGUAGACGAAACGGGCAUACUUGAAUAUGGGCAGGUGUUCAUUCAGUAUACUGAGAUACCCUACAUUGAUAUCGCUGCAGCUCGUUCGUGCAUUGUAAAGGGAGACGUUGUCAUUACGAAGUGUCCUUGUCUACAUCCUGGCGACGUACGUCAUCUAGUUGCUGUGGACGUGCCGGAGCUUCGCCAUAUACGCGACUGUGUCGUGUUUCCGUCCCGCGGGAAGGCGCCGCAUCCAUUCGAGAUGUCAGGCUCAGAUCUCGAUGGUGAUGAGUACAUUUGCAUUUGGAAACCUGAGCUUAUCUUCACGAAUAACGUCGAACCUCACUUGUACGAAGACAAGUCGACUCAUGGCGGUGCUGCGUUCCAGCGGCCGGUGCAUGAAGUCAGCUUUCUGUGCAGCUACAUCGCUAACGAUAUGAUCGGGAUCAUAUCUAACGCCCAUCUUGCCUGGGCAGAUCAAAGCGGUCUUUUAUCUGAUAUGUGUUUGGCUCUUGUCGACAAAGCGUCGAAGGCAUUGGAUUUCGCCAAAACUGGACAGUCGGUCGAUUUACACCCAAAUGAGAAGCCAGGGAAGUUCCCCGAUUUUAUGGAAAAAGGCGACCACAAACACUCGUACCAAUCUAACAAGGCGCUCGGUAUUCUCUACCGAACCGUGCGACAAAUUAUGUCAGUGAACAAUACGCGACUCAGUCAAGGCCAGCGCUUUGUGCCGUUAGAGGUUCCCGGUUGGCAAAUGUUUCGAGAAAGUGCAAUUGUAGCUGUUCAAAGAUAUAAUAAAAGAUUGGCGGACAUUAUGGAGCAGCAUGGUAUUAUGUCCGAGGGUGAGGUUUUCAGCGGCCGUAUCGGUACACUCAACACCUUUGACACGUCUCGACAAGAAAAGGCGUCAGUGGCACAAUUAGUCGAACGACAAAAGGCAUCUCUAAUGGAAGACACUCGCGAGUUGUUCACAGCCGAGCUCGAAGAGGACUGGGCAUUGCUGGAGGCGCGCGGAGCAGAGCAGCGUCGAAUGCUACGGCUGCAGAAAGCGUCGGCGUGGUUUAUGGCCGCUUACGUACUUCAGCAACAACAACAACAACAACAACAACAACAAAGCCCCGAAGCGACACCGGGUACCAGAUCCUUCUACUCGUUCCCAUGGUGUAUAGCGCACGUGAUCCUUGAGGCGAAAUGUUGGUUACAGCAGACAUUUCCCUCAAUGCGGACUGUACAUGAACUCAGCGAAAGCAGGGAUAACAUUUUGGUACGAGUUGUUGAUGAGCGAUUAGGUCUACUUUCGGCCGUGACGUCCCACCAGCGGGUCCGAGCACAUCUCACCGAGUGGCUGUCUCAAUUAUGGCGACGACAAUCAGAGCCACUAGCGCAGAACACCAUCGAGUCGAUUCGGAACGAUGGCGUCGUAGAUUCCAUUGGAGGGACAUCAGGCAAAUCGGUAUGCGCCGACUGCUUUGGCCAAAUCUACAAUAGUUUUGCUGAGACUGUGGCUCUGCCAAGGCAGUUGAUGAGCGUUGGUGAAUACCUGGUAGCGUUCCUUGAAUUUGUGGCAUGUGGAAGGUGUGAAUAUCCAACAUCUUGUCCGAAUUCGUCGUGCACGCGACUUUUUUCAAGCGAUUGUCCUCUGCUCACUGUUGAGGCUUCGAAGGUCUAUGUCCGUUUUGCAAUAGACAAGGAUCCGUGCUUCUUGGGCCUGCCAUGUGUACAGGGCGUCCAUCGAGUCAACAAUGUCAUCGUUGAUGCGCCUGCCGAGAAAGUAAACAUUUCGGAGAAGUUCUUUCAAUUUCUGGCCGAAGACGGAGGUCGUGCAUGCUCGAAGCUGUUGUCUUGCUGGACGGGCGUUCAACACAUUAGCAUUCGAAUGUAUCAUCGACACCAGCCCACUACGCAUUCACGAGGCCGAGCUGCUAAGGGACAGCAAAUAGGGAAUUCCGUCAAAGAAGAUGGUCGGGGCCAUACGCUGCUUGGCGGGGCAUGUUGUAGUAUGAAGGUUCAUUAUUGCGGGACAGAUGCGCAGAUAUUUGCUAUGCAACAGGUGUUGCGUAGUGACAAUCUCGAGACAGCGCUCAUCGAAAAAAAACCCGAACUACUGAACAAAGAGGAGCUCAAGUUAGCAGUUAUUGGCUUAGGUCGCCCCGUGUUGGCCACCCAUUGCGCUACGCGAAACUGUUUGGCGGAUCCGCACUCUUCGGCCGCAGCGCUACCAUGCAUCAUCAUAGACACAUCAGAGAGAAGACGUUCGAGCUCGAGACAAAUGGCGCGUAAACAGUAACACCUGCUGUGUUUCAAGUGACAGUGACUGCUAAGGAUGGCUGAAUCUGACCUGGUAACUGCCGUGGAGAAUUUGGAAGAUUUCCUAUCAGGCCCAUUAGAAGGCGGGCUUCGUUUAGAUGGAGGAAGCUUAAACUGCAAAUCGAAGGAUCAUCAAUUCAUACAUAGCGGAUGGGACACUGCAGGAGUCCCGCAGAGGUCUGUCCUCGGUCCAACACUAUGGAAUUUAAGCUACGACGGCGUUCUGUAAAUAACGGGUCUACCGGAGGGGGGUAGAGACUAUAGCAUAUGCAGAUGACCUGGCUCUGAUAAUCAGAGCCCGGACAGAGGUGGAAUUAGAGAGAACAAGGCUAACGACUCCCUCCAACUCAAAGAACGAUGGAUGAAAGAACAUCUAUGGCUAGCCAGAAGCAAUAUACCUAACUGGAAAAAAAGAAGACCACAGAUUUUUGGGUUAUACCUUGGGAGUAAUGAUUGACACUGCAAUGACUAGAAGAGCGACAUAUUAAACAUGCAGCUACAAAGGCAGAAAGUCAAUUUGUCGCGAAUACUGCCCAGAGUAGGAGGUGCCUCUGGUAGCCGAAGAUUACUGGCUAGCCGAAGAUUACUGGCAUUAGUAGCCGAGGCUAGAGCGCUAUAGGCAGCCCCUGUAUGAGCAGAAAUGGCGCUGAAGACCAAAAGACAAACGAGAUAUAUUGCUGGCUGCUCAAAGAAUAGUCGCAAUACGUGUGGCCAGAGCGUACAGAACCGUGUCAACCGAAGCACUUCUAGUACUGGCCAAAAUGGUCCCAUGGGAUUUGCUUGCCAUAGGAGCCGAACGACGACAACAUAAUGGCCCGUGAGGCCACGUUGAACAAAUGCCAACAGCAGUGGGAAAGUCUCCGCACUAACGGCCGAGGAGAAUCUCCGGGCAGUUGGACUCGACAUCUAAUACCAGAUGUAAGGAAAUGGAUGCGCGGCAGUCACGGAGAGCUAAUAUAGCAUUCCUGCCAAGUCUUGUCGGGUCAUGGACAGUUGCAGACAUAUAUGACAAAGAUCGGCAAGACGCAAGUGGACAUCUGUGUACGGGUGUCGGGCACGAACGACACUCUUCUUCACUGCCAGUCAGGCACUGUGGUCAGAGAUAAGUCGCAGCAAAGGGCAGCGCUAAGGAAAUGGUGGAAAUGAUGACAAAAGACAGGAUGACCUGAGCUAAAGUUACGGCCUUCUUUGAUGAUAUUAUGAAAAAUUCCAACUUGAAAGGAUCACACGUAAGAGAAUAGUAGGACAGGCCCGAAACAAUCACGGGCCUGAGACACCACAAUUGGUAUUAACAUGGGGUACGGUCCCCCUCGGGACCCAGCGUACCUGGUCAAGAGGAAAGUCAGAAUGGAGGAUGGACUGGAACGGUUCAAAGGGAACGAAAUGCUUGCGUUGAAGUCAGGUUUCGAAGUAAUAUCAAACACGACCCAAGCUGAUAAAGAGGCCCAGGGUCUAGUGGGUGACGAUCCCACAGUAGCGGACAAAGCACAAUUCAAGUGAUAAGUGAUGUCUGGACUGCGUAAUGCAUUUCCCGUUUACCUCCAAAAAAAGGUGAAAUGCUCGCUAUUGACGUCAUCAUCAGUGUAGUUGGGGGCCUUGAUGCGAAGUUCAUCGAAGAUCUUUUCAAGCUAUUGGGUGGUUUGCGUUUACAGAGGUCAGUCACGGGACUGAUACACGUGAUAUAAGAUCCAGGACUUCAUAUUGACUUGAAGCUGCUAAGUGCUGGUCAGGUAAUCUUGACCAAACAGCCAAGGACGCUGUUGUGUUCGCUCAGCUGUAGACGCCCGACGAUGCCUGUCAUAGACUAUACGGCUUCACUGUGCCCAUUCGAGAUCGCCGUACAGUAACUCCGCUCCCUGGACUAACGGCUGCUGAUAUGGGUCCUAGGAUUGGACUAACUGAGUCUACAACGGUUUCGCGUUGCUUGGUCGCCAUAAUGUCCCUCGCGAGAAUUUGUUGCAGAGAUCCGUCAAAGCGUCUCGGACCGACCCUUAGGCGUGGUCUCAUUGGACCGCGUUGCUAUAGUUGGUGUGUUGCAACUCGUUAGUCGGCUGUACGUCGAUCGAGGAAAUGCCAAUUCUUGGGUAUCAGAUACAGCAAUGGCGCGUCGUCCCUUACCGCUGUGCGGCCAUUGUUAUGAAUUACUACUUAGGGUCGUUCAUCUCGUUCUCGAUCAGUUCGAUGAUCGGGGAUAAAUCACCAGCGUUGGCCGAUCAGGGCGUAGAACUGCAUAUUACUACAUGCGCUGCGAGGGCGUCUCUGUUGGUACGGGAUGCGAUUCAGGAGGCUCGAGAGGCAUGUGGUGGCCGUACGUUCUUGCGAGCGUCAGGUUUUGGAGCCAUUAAAGAUCAUGACAGAAAAUGCACCUACGAGGGACAUAAUGCCUUCCUCAGCAAACUAGCAAUGUACUGCUAGCAGCUGCAGGACUGCAACUAUCGAAAAGUUCGCUUCGAGAAGUUCGCUUCUCGAUGUAGCUACACUUUGUUUCCGCUGCGCCGAACGAACGGUACACGGACAACGCUAACGUCACUAUUAGGUCCACCAUUGGCAUCUACGAGUGGCUCGUAUGGCGUGCGCUAAAGGUCUAGGCAACUUCUACCGGUGAUCCUUUCCGCGAUAGAAACGAGCCACCAAGUUUUUCUCGCACUUGCCUAGGCCUGCAUUGAGGAGGAAGCAAAUUCAACCACCUUAUCGUAACCGUUGAGUCUUCGCUGGUUCGUGUUGCACAAAGCAGGUCUUUCUUUGGUCUCUGGAGCCUGGAAAAAAGGUUAUCAUCAGACCUUUAUGCGGGCGGAUUCAUAACCAGAUUCGGUCUUUGUGCGAUUCUGAAAGAUGAGGCCGUGGGGAUUCUGCCCGAUUUAGCACUAACUCUGUGCUCGAUUACUUGUACGGACAAGCGGCUCGUGACAUGUAGGCAGAGAGAGUGGACCAGUGGCACGAGUCCCAUGGUGGAGGCAACUCUU